GUUUAUUGUUCCCUGGCUCAAGUUGAACUGGCGGGAUCGUACUACAUGCAAGUCGAACGCAGCAGCACGGACUUCGGUCUGGUGGCGAGUGGCGAACGGGUGAGUAAUGUAUCCGGAACGUGCUAGUAGCGGGGGAUAACUACGCGAAAGCGUAGCUAUACACAUACGCCCUUCGAAGCGGGGACCUUCGGGCCUCGCACUAUUCGACACGGCAAUCGGAUUAGCUAGUUGGUGGGGCCAACCCGGCUCACCAAGGCGGCGUGACGUCCGUAGCUAGUUUGAGAGGACGACCAGCCACACUGGGACUGAGACGGCCCAGACUCCUACGGGAGGCAGCAGUGGGGAAUUUUGGACAAUGGGGGAAACCUGAUCCAGCCAUCCCGCGUGUGCGAUGAAGGCCUUCGGGUUUGUAACACUUUUGGCAGGGAAAGAAACGGCACAGGAUAAUACCCGUGCAACUGACGUACCUGCAGAAUAAGCACCGGCUAACUACGUGCCAGCAGCCGCUGAUAAUGCACGUAGGGUGCAAGCGUUAAUCGGAAUUACUGGGCGUAGCGUGCGCAGGCGGUUCGGAAAGAAAGAUGUGAAAUCCCAGAGCUUAACUUUGGAACUGCAUUUUUAACUACCGAGCUAGAGUGUCUUGAAGAGGAGGUGGAAUUCCUGCGUGUAGCAGUGAAAUGCGUAGAUAUGCAGACACUGAUGGCGAAGGCAGCCUCCUGGGAUAACACUGACGCUCAUGCACGAAAAGCGUGGGGAGCAAACAGGAUUAGAUACCCUGGUAGUCCACGCCCUAAGCGAUAUUAAUGGCUGUUGAGCCUUCGGGCCUUGGUAACAGCUAACGCGUGAAGUUGACCGCCUGGAAAGUACGGUCGCAAGAUUAAAACUCAAAGGAAUUGACGGGGACCCGCACAAGCGGUGGAUGAUGUGGAUUAAUUCGAUGCAACACUGGAAGAAAACCUUACCUACCCUUGACAUCUGGAAUCCCGAAGAGAUUUGGGGAGUGCUCGCAAAGAGAACCGGAACACAGGUGCUGCAUGGCUGUCGUCAGCUCGUGUCGUGAGAUGUUGGGUUAAGUCCCGCAACGAGCGCAACCUUGUCGUGUAGUUGCUACGAAGGGCACUCUAAUGGGGGCUACCCGGUGACAAACCGGAGGAAGGUGGGGAUGACGUCAAGUCCUCAUGGCCCUUAUGGGUGAGCUUCACGUCAUACAAUGGUCGGGACAGAGGGUCGCCAACCCGCAGGGGGGAGCCAAUCCCAGAAGGCGAUCGUAGUCCGGAUCGCAGUCUGCAACUCGACUGCGUGAAGUCGGAGAUCGCUGGUAAUCGCGGAUCAGCAUGUCUUGUCGCGGUGAAUACGUUCCCGGGUCUUAUACACCGCCCAUGCACCAUGGGAGUGGGUUUUACCCGAAGUAGUUAGCCUAACCGUAAGGAGGGCGAUUACCACGGUAGGAUUCAUGACUGGGGUGAAGUCGUAACAAGGUAA
rnacentral:rRNA from 1 species